rnacentral:misc_RNA from 1 species
UUCAGCUCAGUUGAUAUUGCUUCUCAAAUGGUUCAGCAAGGAUCCAUUACACCUGGUCUCUUUGCAGGAAGGGGAUUGCCAAAUGUUCCAAAUGCACAAAAUGCAUCCUGGAAUGCAUUUGGAUUGUUUCCAGGAAUUCCCAAUGGUGGCCUUGACGCACUCCAUUCCAUUGGUUUGCAAGGAGCACCCAGACCGGCAGUAAAUUCUUCAUUGAACAUGGGCAUUCCCCGCCAGCGGUGCAGAGACUUUGAGGAGCGUGGAUUUUGUCUAAGAGGGGACAUGUGUCCAAUGGAGCAUGGUGUCAAUCGCAUUGUUGUUGAAGAUGUUCAGAGCCUUUCACAGUUCAAUCUCCCUGUUUCACUUCCAAAUGGACCACUAGUGGGAACAGCUGCUGGACCAGGGGCUUUACCAUCAGUUGGCGCUCCUUCAACUACAUUGAUGAAUAGCAAAGUGCUACAUAGCAGAAAUAGCAAGCCUGGAAUGGUUGAUG